rnacentral:rRNA from 1 species
GGGCCGCGGGAUUAGAGUUUGAUCAUGGCUCAGAUUGAACGCUGGCGGCAGGCCUAACACAUGCAAGUCGAGCGGUAACAUUUCGAAGCUUGCUUUGAAGAUGACGAGCGGCGGACGGGUGAGUAAUGGCUGGGAACCUGCCCUAACGAGGGGGAUAACUACUGGAAACGGUAGCUAAUACCGCAUAAUGUCCUUUCCUUAAAAAGAAGGGACCAAAGAAGGGGAUCUUCGGACCUUUCGCGUUAGGAUGGGCCCAGUUGGGAUUAGCUAGUUGGUGAGGUAAUGGCUCACCAAGGCAACGAUCCCUAGCUGGUUUGAGAGGAUGAUCAGCCACACUGGAACUGAGACACGGUCCAGACUCCUACGGGAGGCAGCAGUGGGGAAUAUUGCACAAUGGGCGCAAGCCUGAUGCAGCCAUGCCGCGUGUGUGAAGAAGGCCUUCGGGUUGUAAAGCACUUUCAGCAGUGAGGAAGGUUACGUAGUUAAUACCUGCGUGACUUGACGUUAGCUGCAGAAGAAGCACCGGCUAACUCCGUGCCAGCAGCCGCGGUAAUACGGGGGGUGCGAGCGUUAAUCGGAAUUACUGGGCGUAAAGCGCAUGCAGGCGGCUUGUUAAGCAAGAUGUGAAAGCCCCGGGCUUAACCUGGGAAUUGCAUUUUGAACUGGCAAGCUAGAGUCCUGUAGAGGGGGGUA